AAUGGAGAGUUUGAUCCUGGCUCAGGACGAACGCUGGCGGUGUGCUUAAUACAUGCAAGUCGAACGUGAAGCUACCUUCGGGUAGUGGAAAGUGGCGGACGGGUGAGUAACACGUAGGUAAUCUGCCUUAAGGUGGGGGACAACGUUGGGAAACUGACGCUAAUACCCCAUAUGUGGCGAGUUGUGAUACUCGUUAUGAAAGUUCCGGCGCCUUAAGAUGAGCCUGCGGCUGAUUAGUUUGUUGGUGAGGUAAUGGCUUACCAAGACUAUGAUCAGUAGCUGGUCUGAGAGGAUGAUCAGCCACAAUGGGACUGAGACACGGCCCAUACUCCUACGGGAGGCAGCAGUAGGGAAUUUUGCGCAAUGGGCGAAAGCCUGACGCAGCAACACCGCGUGAGUGAUGAAGCAUCUUGGUGUGUAAAACUCUGUCAGAGGGGACGAAUUUUGACGGUACCCUCAAAGGAAGCAUCGGCUAACUACGUGCCAGCAGCCGCGGUAAGACGUAGGAUGCAAGCGUUGUCCGGAAUUAUUGGGCGUAAAGAGUUCGUAGGCGGCAUGAAAAGUCUGGUGUUAAAGCCCGGAGCUCAACUCCGGUUCGGCAUUGGAUACUUUCAAGCUAGAGUGCAGAAGAGGCAAGGGGAAUUCCUAGUGUAGCGGUGAAAUGCGUAGAUAUUAGGAGGAACACCGGUGGCGUAAGCGCCUUGCUGGUCUGUUACUGACGCUGAGGAACGAAAGCCAGGGGAGCAAAUGGGAUUAGAUACCCCAGUAGUCCUGGCCGUAAACGAUGGAUACUAGGUGUUGAAGGUAUCGACCCCUUCAGUGCUGCAGCUAACGCAAUAAGUAUCCCGCCUGGGGAGUACGCACGCAAGUGUGAAACUCAAAGGAAUUGACGGGGACCCGCACAAGCGGUGGAACAUGUGGUUUAAUUCGAAGCAACGCGAAGAACCUUACCAGGGCUUGACAUCUACAGAACCUUGCGGAAACGUGAGGGUGCCUUUCGGGGAACUGUAAGACAGGUGGUGCAUGGUUGUCGUCAGCUCGUGUCGUGAGAUGUUGGGUUAAGUCCCGCAACGAGCGCAACCCUCGUUGUUAGUUGCUGCUAAGAGCCUGCUCUUAGUUAGCUCUCUAGCGAGACUGCCGGUGAUAAACCGGAGGAAGGUGGGGACGACGUCAAAUCAUCAUGCCCCUUAUGUCCUGGGCUACACACGUGUUACAAUGGGUAGGACAACGAGUCGCCAAUCAGCGAUGAUGAGCAAAUCUCUUAAACCUACUCUCAGUUCGGAUCGUAGUCUGCAACUCGACUACGUGAAGUCGGAAUCGCUAGUAAACGCAGAUCAGCACGCUGCGUUGAAUACGUUCCCGGGUCUUGUACACACCGCCCGUCACACCAUGGGAGUUGACCACGCCCGAAGUCGGUGAGCUAACCGUAAGGAAGCAGCCGCCUAAGGUAGGGUUGAUGACUAGGGUGAAGUCGUAACAAGGUAGCCGUACCGGAAGGUGCGGCUGGAUCACCUCCUUUCUAG
rnacentral:rRNA from 1 species